rnacentral:rRNA from 1 species
AUUGAACGCUGGCGGCAGGCCUAACACAUGCAAGUCGAACGGUAACAGGAAGCAGCUUGCUGCUUCGCUGACGAGUGGCGGACGGGUGAGUAAUGUCUGGGAAGCUGCCUGAUGGAGGGGGAUAACUACUGGAAACGGUAGCUAAUACCGCAUAAUGUCGCAAGACCAAAGAGGGGGACCUUCGGGCCUCUUGCCAUCGGCUGUGCCCAGAUGGGAUUAGCUUGUUGGUGGGGUAACGGCUCACCAAGGCGACGAUCCCUAGCUGGUCUGAGAGGAUGACCAGCCACACUGGGACUGAGACACGGUCCAGACUCCUACGGGAGGCAGCAGUGGGGAAUAUUGCACAAUGGGCGCAAGCCUGAUGCAGCCAUGCCGCGUGUAUGAAGAAGGCCUUCGGGUUGUAAAGUACUUUCAGCGGGGAGGAAGGGAGUAAAGUUAAUACCUUGGCUCAUUGACGUUACCCGCAGAAGAAGCACCGGCUAACUCCGUG